UACAGAGGUCCCAAGCGUUGUUCGGAAUCACUGGGCGUAAAGGGUGCGUAGGCGGCGCGGAAAGUCAGGGGUGAAAUCCCGGAGCUCAACUCCGGAACUGCCUUUGAUACUCCCGCGCUUGAGAACUGGAGGGGAGACCGGAAUUCACGGUGGAGCAGUGAAAUGCGUGGAUAUCGUGAGGAACACUAGUGGCGAAGGCGGGUCUCUGGACAGUAUCUGACGCUGAGGCACGAAGGCCAGGGGAGGCGAACGGG
rnacentral:rRNA from 1 species